rnacentral:rRNA from 1 species
CAGUCGCCGCGGUAAAACGGAGGGUGCAAGCGUUAUCCGGAUUUAUUGGGUUUAAAGGGUCCGUAGGCGGACUUAUAAGUCAGUGGUGAAAGCCUGUCGCUUAACGAUAGAACUGCCAUUGAUACUGUAAGUCUUGAGUAUAUUUGAGGUAGCUGGAAUAAGUAGUGUAGCGGUGAAAUGCAUAGAUAUUACUUAGAACACCAAUUGCGAAGGCAGGUUACCAAGAUAUAACUGACGCUGAGGGACGAAAGCGUGGGUAGCGAACAGGAUUAGAUACCCGCGUAGUCCCUGUCUCUUAUAC